UCCAAAGCUAGACCAGAAGUCCAGGCAGA
rnacentral:piRNA from 1 species